rnacentral:rRNA from 1 species
GACGUAGGUGGCGAACGUUAUCCGGAAUUAUUGGGCGUAAAGGAUGCGUAGAUGGUGUAGUAAGUUAUCGGUGGCAAAUCGAGGCUCAACCUCGUGGAAGUCGGUAAUACUGCUAUGCUAGAGGAUAGGAGAGGUUAACGGAACUCCCUGUGGAGCGGUGAAAUGCGUAGAGAUCGGAAAGAACACCAACGGCGAAAGCACUCUGCUGGGCCGACACUGACACUGAGAGACGAAAGCUAGGGGAGCGAAUGGG